GUGGGCUGGAAUAUGACAACAGAAGAUUACCGAUUGGUCAUGUUGAUAUUGAAUACUCUGUUUUUAUUGGUCAGGUUGUAUGUCUUAUAACAGUUUGGGCAUCCUGGUUUUAGAUGAUCAGUUGGCCUUAACACUUCCUGUUUCACUGCCUCGGGACCCUCCCUCUACUCUCUCUUCUUCCUGUUUCACUGCCUCGGGACCCUCCCUCUACGGUCUCUCUCCUUCUUCCUGUUUCACUGCCUCGCACCCUACCUCUACGGUCUCUCUCCUUCUUCCUGUUUCACUGCCUCAGACCCUCCCUCUACUGUCUCUCUCUCUCUCUUCCUGUUUCACUGCCUCGUACCCUCCCUCUACUGUCUCUCUCUUCUUCCUGUUUCACUGCCUUACCCUCCCUCUACUGUAUAUCUCUUCUUCCUGUUUCACUGCCUCGGACCCUCCCUCUACUAUCUCUCUUCUUCCUGUUUCACUGCCUCGAACCCUCCCUCUACUGUCUCUCUCUUCUUCCUGUUUCACUGCCUUACCCUCCCUCUACUGUCUCUCUCUUCUUCCUGUUUCACUGCCUCGAACCCUCCCUCUACUGUCUGUCUCCUUCUUCCUGUUUCACUGCCUCGAACCCUCCCUCUACUGUCUCUCUCUCUCUCUCUCUCUUCUUCCUGUUUCACUGCCUCGAACCCUCCCUCUACUGUCUCUCUCUUCAUCCUGUUUCACUGCCUCGGACCCUCCCUCUACUGUCUCUCUUCUUCCUGUUUCACUGCCUUACCCUCCCUCUACUGUCUCUCUUCUUCCUGUUCCCCGGGUUACGUUCCAAAAUGGCACCUUAUUCCCUAUUUGGUGUUGGAAAAGGUCACUCGUGCGCUAGUGCACUAAAUAUUUAGUGGUCAAAAGGGCUCUGGUCAAACGGUAGUGCACCGUAAGGGAAUUAGGAUGCUGUUGAGGACACUUCCCUUCAUCUGAAGGUCUCAUGCUUCCUCAGAUAUGUGCCUUCCAGCUUUCCGUAGUUUUGUUGUUUUGUUGUUCCGGCCUCCCAAAAAACCAACAAAAUUUGGACCCAAAAGCAACCUGCGUACGUACUUACCUAAUAUACAUAAUGUCUACGUUCAAAAUGCCAUCCUAUUCCCUAUGAAGGGCCCUGGUCAAAAGUAGUUCACUAUAUAGGGAAUAGGGUGCAGUUUCUGACGCAGCCAUUGGCUGAAUCUCUGGUGAUGUAGUUUCUGACGUAGCCAUUGGCUGAGUCUCCGGUGAUGUAGUUUCUGACGUAGCCAUUGGCUGAGUCUCCGGUGAUGUAGUUUCUGACGUAGCCAUUGGCUGCAUCUCCGGCGACGCCCAUUUCUGACAUAGCCAUUGGCGACGCCCAUUUCUGACAUAGCCAUUGGCUGAGUCUCCGGUGAUGUAGUUUUUUUCCCCCUUGUAGUGCACUAUAAACUAGUGUACUGUAAACUAGUGUACUGUAAACUAGUGUACGACAGAGGGGGAGCGAGACGGACAACAGUAAUAUCAUUGGUGUUCAGUUGUUUUAUGUUCAUGCUGGUGUUUUUUGCCUCGUUGUCAAAAGAUCCCAUUUUUCUGGUUUCGCCUCUUUUGUGAUUAUCAUUUUAAAUAAGUAUAUCCAUUUUAUUUAGUAUUUUAUAUAGUUUAUACUGUAUUGUAUUCUAUCGUAUAUUUAUGUCUUUGUAAAAAAAAAAAAAUGUUUUGGAAAAAAAACGGACAAACUUAAGUAUUGAAAAUCGAUGAAUGUUGGUACGAAUGAUGCUUGUAAACAGAAUAAAUACAUAACAAUCUGAUCUCUGUGUUCAUCUGGUAAACUAGACGAAGAAGACGAAGGAAGCUGGUUAAGUAAAGGUGAAAUAAAAACUAUUUCUUCACCCCUUUUUUUCCUAAUUGGUAGUUAGUCUUGUCUCAUCGCUGCAACUCCCGUACGGACUCGGGAGAGGCGAAGGUCGAGAGCCGUGUGUCCUCCGAAACACGACCCCAACCAAGCCGCACUGCUUCUUUGACACAACGCACAUCCAACCCGGAAGCCAAACGCACCAAUGUAUCGGAGGAAACACAGUUAUACCUGGUGACCUGUGCACUGCGCCCGGGCCCGUCACAGGAGCGCGAUGGGACAAGGACAUCCCAGCCGGUCAAAACCCUCCCGUAACCCGGACGACGCUGGGCCAAUUGUGCGCCGCCCCCAUUAGGUCUCCCGGUCGCGGCUGGCUGCGACAGAACCUGGACUCGAACCCAGAAUCUCUAGUGGCACUGCCUUAGACCACUGAAUCACAGCCUUAGACCACUGAAUCACUGCCUUAAACCACUGAAUCAUUUUCGACCACUGAAUCACUGCCUUAGACCACUGAAUCAUUUUAGACCACUGAAUCACUGCCUUAGACCACUGCAUCUCUAGUGGCACUGCCUUAGACCACUGAAUCACUGCCUUAGACCACUGAAUCACUGCCUUAGACCACUGAAUCACUGCCUUAGACCACUGAAUCACAGCCUUAGAUCACUGAAUCACAGCAUUAGACCACUGAAUCUCUAGUGACACAGCUAGCACUGCCCUAGACCACUGAAUCACUGCCUUAGACCACUGAAUCACAGCCUUAGACCACUGAAUCACAGCCUUAGACCAUUGAAUCACUGCCUUAGACCACUGAAUCACAGCCUUAGACCACUGAAUCACAGCCUUAGACCACUGAAUCAUUACCUUAGACCACUGAAUCACAGCCUUACCACUGAAUCACAGCCUUAGACCACUGAAUCACAGCCUUAGACCACUGAAUCACAGCCUUAGACCACUGAAUCACAGCCUUAGACCACUGAAUCACAGCCUUAGACCACUGAAUCACAGCCUUAGACCACUGAAUCACAGCCUUAGACCACUGAAUCAUUACCUUAGACCACUGAUCAUUGCCUUAGACCACUGAAUCACAGCCUUAGACCACUGAAUCACAGCCUUAGACCACUGAAUCACUGCCUUAGACCACUGAAUCACAGCCUUCGACCACUGAAUCACAGCCUUCGACCACUGAAUCACAACCUUAGACCACUGAAUCACAGCCUUAGACCACUGAAUCACAGCCUUAGACCACUGAAUUCCCAGGUUUUCCCAGAAGUCCCAGUCGGAUGCUCUGUAAGGAAUAAGUAGGAAAUCUGCGAAUCGUUCAACCAGGAUUUCUGAAUAACCUGGGACUUUUGUAACUAUGAUAAAGACAUGAAUAUGUUGUUUAGCAACAAGCCUAUUUGCUGAAACAUGCCGGCGGUCUCUCUCUGCUCUCUACACCCAGGAGGAAGACGGUCUCUCUCUGCUCUCUCUACACCCAGGAGGAAGACGGUCUCUCUCUGCUCUCUCUACACCCAGGAGGAAGACGCUCUCUCUCUGCUCUCUCUACACCCAGGAGGAAGACGGUCUCUCUCUGCUCUCUCUACACCCAGGAGGAAGACGGUCUCUCUCUGCUCUCUCUACACCCAGGAGGAAGACGGUCUCUCUCUGCUCUCUCGACACCCAGGAGGAAGACGCUCUCUCUACACCCAGGAGGAAGACGGUCUCUCUCUGCUCUCUCUACACCCAGGAGGAAGACGGUCUCUCUCUGCUCUCUCUACACCCAGGAGGAAGACGCUCUCUCUCUGCUCUCUCUACACCCAGGAGGAAGACGGUCUCUCUGAACCCAGGAGGAAGACACCGCCAUUUCUGUGAAGUCAUUAUAAAACUUGCUGUCUUGAAGGAGAAAAGAUGAGGAUGGGGGAGAGGUGAGGACUAGAGGAGAGAGAUGGGGACUAGAGGAGAGAGAUGAGGACUGGAGGAGAAUGGAGAGAGAUGAGGACUAGAGGAGAGAGAUGAGGACUAGAGGAGAGAGAUGAGGACUAGAGGAGAGAGAUGAGGACUAGAGGAGAGAGAUGAGGACUAGAGAAUGGAGAGAGAUGAGGACUAGAGAAUGGAGAGAGAUGAGGACUAGAGAAUGGAGAGAGAUGAGGACUGGAAGAGAAUGGAGAGAGAUGAGGACUAGAUAAUGGAGAGAUGAGGACUGGAGGAGAGAGAUGAGGACUGGAGGAGAGAGAUGAGGACUGGAGGAUGGAGAGAGAUGAGGACUAGAGGAUGGAGAGAGAUGAGGACUAGAGAAUGGAGAGAGAUGAGGACUAGAGAAUGGAGAGAGAUGAGGACUAGAGAAUGGUGAGAGAUGAGGACUAGAGAAUGGAGAGAGAUGAGGACUGGAAGAGAAUGGAGAGAGAUGAGGACUAGAUAAUGGAGAGAGAUGAGGACUGGAGGAGAGAGAUGAGGACUGGAGGAGAGAGAUGAGGACUGGAGGAGAGAGAUGAGGACUAGAGGAGAGAGAUGAGGACUGGAGGAGAGAGAUGAGGACUAGAGGAGAGAGAUGAGGACUAGAGGAGAGAGAUGAGGACUAGAGGAGAGAGAUGAGGACUAGAGGAGAGAGAUGAGGACUAGAGAAUGGAGAGAGAUGAGGACUAGAGAAUGGAGAGAGAUGAGGACUAGAGAAUGGAGAGAGAUGAGGACUAGAGAAUGGAGAGAGAUGAGGACUAGAGAAUGGAGAGAGAUGAGGACUAGAGAAUGGAGAGAGAUGAGGACUAGAGAAUGGAGAGAGAUGAGGACUGGAAGAGAAUGGAGAGAGAUGAGGACUGGAUAAUGGAGAGAGAUGGGGACUAGAGGAGAGAGAUGAGGACUAGAGAAUGGAGA
rnacentral:lncRNA from 1 species